UAACAAGGUCUCUGUUGGUGAACCAGCGGAGGGAUCAUUA
rnacentral:rRNA from 2 species